UAUACAUGUAAGCCUCGAGCAUACAUGCCUAAACCGCUGUGCAUGGCUGUAUGCCGUUAGGGUGUCUCUGGAAACGGAAGCGCCUUCCAUUGUGAAAAGGGGGAUAAUAAUGAAAAAU
rnacentral:ncRNA from 2 species